AGUGAACGCUGGCGGCAGGCCUAACACAUGCAAGUCGAACGGCAGCACAAGAGAGCUUGCUCUCUGGGUGGCGAGUGGCGGACGGGUGAGGAAUGCAUCGGAAUCUGCCCAUUUGUGGGGGAUAACCUCGGGAAACCGGGACUAAUACCGCAUACGACCUACGGGUGAAAGCAGGGGAUCUUCGGACCUUGCGCAGAUGGAUGAGCCGAUGCCGGAUUAGCUAGUUGGAGGGGUAAAGGCCCACCAAGGCGACGAUCCGUAGCUGGUCUGAGAGGAUGAUCAGCCACACGGGGACGGAGACACGGCCCAGACUCCUACGGGAGGCAGCAGUGGGGAAUAUUGGACAAUGGGCGCAAGCCUGAUCCAGCCAUGCCGCGGGGUGGAAGAAGGCCUUCGGGUUUUAAAGCACUUUUGUUGGGAAAGAAAAGCAGCCGGUUAAUACCCGGUUGUCAUGACGGUACCCAAAGAAUAAGCACCGGCUAACUUCGUG
rnacentral:rRNA from 1 species